AUUGAACGCUGGCGGCAGGCCUAACACAUGCAAGUCGAACGAGUGGCGGAAGGGUGAGUAAUGUCUGGGAAACUGCCUGAUGGAGGGGGAUAAAUACUGGAAACGGUAGCUAAUACCGCAUACCAACAGAUGGGCCCCAAGGGGAUUAGCUUGUUGGUGGGGUAACGGCUCACCAAGGCGACGAGCCCUAGCUGGUCUGAGAGGAUGACCAGCAACCCGGGAACUGAGAAACGGUCCAGACUCUUACGGGAGGCAGCAGUGGGGAAUAUUGCACAAUGGGCGCAAGCCUGAUGCAGCAAUGCCGCGGGUAUGAAGAAGGCCUUCGGGUUGUAAAGUACUUUCAGCGGGGAGGCGUUACCCGCAGAAGAAGCACCGGCUAACUCCGUGCCAGCAGCCGCGGUAAUAC
rnacentral:rRNA from 1 species